GGCCGCCUGGCGUAAUGGCAACGCGUCUGACUACGAUUUCCCCGGGUAACGGACGGAUUUGUAUAUCAGGAGAUUGCAGGUUCGACCCCUGCGGUGGUCA